rnacentral:rRNA from 1 species
ACGCUCGACACCUACGGGGNGAGCAGUGGGGAAUAUUGCACAAUGGGGGAAACCCUGAUGCAGCGACGCCGCGUGAGCGAAGAAGUAUUUCGGUAUGUAAAGCUCUAUCAGCAGGGAAGAAACUGACGGUACCUGACUAAGAAGCACCGGCUAAAUACGUGCCAGCAGCCGCGGUAAUCUGAGCGGGCUGGCAAGGC